UGACCUCAAGUCAUGUGAGAGUACCC
rnacentral:rRNA from 1 species